UACAGAGGUCCCGAGCGUUGUUCGGAUUCAUUGGGCGUAAAGGGUGCGUAGGCGGUGGGGUAAGUCUGAUGUGAAAUCCCGAGGCUCAACCCCGGAACUGCAUUGGAUACUGCCUUACUUGAGUACUGGAGAGGGAACUGGAAUUUACGGUGUAGCAGUGAAAUGCGUUAGAGAUCGUAAGGAAGGCCAGUGGCGAAGGCGAGUUCCUGGACAGUUACUGACGCUGAGGCACGAAGGCCAGGGGAGCAAACGGG
rnacentral:rRNA from 1 species